rnacentral:rRNA from 1 species
CACGAAACUUGCCCCGAGAUGAGUUCUCCCUGACUCCUGGAGAGUCCUGAAGGAACGUUGAAGACGACGACGUUGAUAGGCCGGGUGUGUAAGCGCAGCGAUGCGUUGAGCUAACCGGUACUAAUGAACCGUGAGGCUUAACCUUACAACGCCGAAGGUGUUU